rnacentral:rRNA from 1 species
UACGAAGGGGGCUAGCGUUGUUCGGAAUUACUGGGCGUAAAGCGCGCGCAGGCGGCUAUCCAAGUCAGUGGUGAAAGCCCGGAGCUCAACUCCGGAACUGCCAUUGAAACUGUUUAGCUUGAGUACGAGAGAGGUGAGUGGAAUUCCCAGUGUAGAGGUGAAAUUCGUAGAUAUUGGGAAGAACACCGGUGGCGAAGGCGGCUCACUGGCUCUUAUCUGACGCUCAGGCGCGACAGCGUGGGGAUCAAACAGG